GGUGGCUCAGUGGUAGAGCUCUUGCCUUGCAUGCAUGAGGCCCUGGGUUCAAUUCCUCAGCACCA
rfam:Dipodomys ordii contig_44764, whole genome shotgun sequence.